UAGAGUUUGAUCAUGGCUCAGGAUGAACGCUGGCGGCGUGCUUAACACAUGCAAGUCGAACGGAGAUUAUACGCAGAGGCGAUUUCGGUCAAAUCAUGUAAAAUCUUAGUGGCGGACGGGUGAGUAACGCGUGGGUAACCUGCCUUACACUGGGGGAUAACACUUAGAAAUAGGUGCUAAUACCGCAUAAGCGCACGAAGCCGCAUGGAUUUGUGUGAAAAACUCCGGUGGUGUAAGAUGGACCCGCGUCUGAUUAGCUGGUUGGCGGGGUAACGGCCCACCAAGGCGACGAUCAGUAGCCGGCCUGAGAGGGUGGACGGCCACAUUGGGACUGAGACACGGCCCAAACUCCUACGGGAGGCAGCAGUGGGGAAUAUUGGACAAUGGGGGGAACCCUGAUCCAGCGACGCCGCGUGAGUGAAGAAGUAUUUCGGUAUGUAAAGCUCUAUCAGCAGGGAAGAAAGAAAUGACGGUACCUGACUAAGAAGCCCCGGCUAACUACGUGCCAGCAGCCGCGGUAAUACGUAGGGGGCAAGCGUUAUCCGGAAUUACUGGGUGUAAAGGGAGCGUAGACGGUGAUGCAAGUCUGAAGUGAAAGGCGGGGGCUCAACCCCCGGACUGCUUUGGAAACUGUGUGACUGGAGUGCAGGAGAGGUAAGUGGAAUUCCUAGUGUAGCGGUGAAAUGC
rnacentral:rRNA from 1 species